CCUACGGGAGGCAGCAGUGAGGAAUAUUGGUCAAUGGCCGGAAGGCUGAACCAGCCAAGCCGCGUGAAGGACGAAGGUGCCAAGCAUUGUAAACUUCUUUUGUCAAGGGACAAAAUCCGGCUCUAGAGCCUGACCGAGGGUACUUGAAGAAAAAGCAUCGGCUAACUCCGUGCCCGCAGCCGCGGUAAUGCGGAGGAUGCGAGCGUUCUCCGGAUUUAUUGGGUUUAAAGGGUGCGUAGGCGGUCUGUUCAGUCAGCGGUAAAAGCCCGGGGCUCAAACCCGGCGAGCCGUUGAAACUGGCUGUCUUGAGAUGGCGAGAGGUAUGCGGAAUGCGCAGUGUAGCGGUGAAAUGCUUAGAUAUUGCGCAGAACUCCGAUUGCGAAGGCAGCAUACCAAAGGAGAUCUGACGCUGAGGCACGAAAGCGUGGGUAUCAAACAGGAUUAGAUACCCGGGUAGUC
rnacentral:rRNA from 1 species